rnacentral:rRNA from 1 species
CACGCAGGCGGUCUGUCAAGUCGGAUGUGAAAUCCCCGGGCUCAACCUGGGAACUGCAUUCGAAACUGGCAGGCUAGAGUCUUGUAGAGGGGGGUAGAAUUCCAGGUGUAGCGGUGAAAUGCGUAGAGAUCUGGAGGAAUACCGGUGGCGAAGGCGGCCCCCUCGGACAAAGACUGACGCUCAGGUGCGAAAGCGUGGGGAGCAAAC